CAAAGGGGGUGUCACGCUGUAUGGACGACCUGGGCAAUCUACGGUGACAGGGACGGUCGGCACACCUGUCGGAACAUCACCAAGGGCUAUUUUAGACCCACCUGAAGGAAGGAAUGGGACUAAUCGCCCUACACGGUUGGGAGCGAUUGUCAGAAAGGUCGCGCUGUCAUUAUUAUUCGGCUUUUGUCCCAGAUUUUCGUGGCUCUUUUCUGUGACGCUAACGCGGCGAGGAGACCCCGACGGCGCCAUCUUUUGUGUUCGGCGCGUGACGUCACAGCGCGAACGGCUUUGUGGGACGGCAUUUUUGGAGCAGGGGGCACCCGCACGGCGACUGGGUCUGCAACGGCGGGGCGACAACACAACAGGCGGCUAGCGACGUGAGAGCGCGCUCCUAGCCACACGUCUACGCCCUCAUCCAACCAGGUCUCACCUUACCAGGUGGGCGACACAAGACGUCUUCCUGAGACAUCUUCAAGUUGUAGCUGCUUCUUCCUUCCUUCGAUUUGCUUGCUCAGGGCUACCAGAGCCUCAAGAUGGCGGGCAAUCCCAUGAUGCUGUGCGGUAUCCUGAUUCUCAUGAUUGUUGGAGACUGCGCACUCGGCGCCCCUACGAUUCU